AACUGAAGAGUUUGAUCAUGGCUCAGAUUGACCGCUGGCGGCAGGCUUAACACAUGCAAGUCGAGCGGGGGAAGGUAGCUUGCUACCGGACCUAGCGGCGGACGGGUGAGUAAUGCUUAGGAAUCUGCCUAUUAGUGGGGGACAACAUCUCGAAAGGGAUGCUAAUACCGCAUACGUCCUACGGGAGAAAGCAGGGGAUCUUCGGACCUUGCGCUAAUAGA
rnacentral:rRNA from 1 species